rnacentral:tRNA from 1 species
GCGGCUUGGGUCACGCGGGGGGACGCUUCUAUCACCCCGCUUUGCAAGCAGGGGGUUAGGGGUUCGAGUCCCCUAGGCUCCACCA